GCACAGCGAUUCGGUUGCUUAGCAAGAGACGAGGCUAUGGUGACUCCGGAGCAGUGUCCAGAUGAAGCCAGACUGCUCAUCAUUCCAGACAUCUUCAGCUGCUACACCCAGAACGAGCAUUCGAAAUAUGAACAGGAUGGGACAAAGAAUCUUCUGUAGAGAGCAAAUCCCAUAUCUGAUGCAACUAGAAGGAAGAACAACCUGAUGAAGCCCCAGUAUUUCCACAACAUAGGUAAACCAAGCCAAAGAACUUUUAGAAAUGACAUGUGCCAAGAAGUGGGGAAGAUUCAUGUUAGCAUACGGCAAAAUCUUAAGUUUCAUCACAGGUCAGCUCUGUCUCAGCAUUCAAGACCAUCCACAGUCUGAUCCCAGGAGCUGCCCUUAUCCCCACACCCUCUGUGUGGACAAGCUUCAGCUGGAGCAGAUGUAGUUGAUUUGAUUCCUGUGUAUUCCAUCUGAUGAGGUCC